rnacentral:misc_RNA from 1 species
CUUGUAUAAGCCGAAACAUCAUCGUCUCUGGAAAAUCCAUACACAAGACCGUACUUACGAGUACAAGAUGGACACCAACGACACACCCACACCAAAUCCACCAAGUCUCCCCACAUUUUAGGACAAAUACACGGGGCAAAAAUUAGCUAUCUUCCAUCUGUGACAACAACUUCAAAAAGAAAAGAGAAAAAAAAGAAAAAACCCUAAAUACAUAGAUUAACAUGUUGCAUACAUCAAUUCUGCAGUGAGGUUUCCUUUAAAUGCCUGAAACCAAAUGUUUACCCUCUUGCCCUGAACACCCUUCUUUUGAACUCUCUUUUCUCCUUCCUUCAACCGUAUA